GGCGCACGGGUGCGUUAACGCGUGAUGCAAUCUGACCUUUUAGGAGAGGGAUAGCCCAGAGAAAUUUGGAUUAAUACCGUCAUAGUAUAAUGACUCGGCAUCGGAAGAUGUUAUUGAAACGUUGACAACGGUAAAGAGAAUGAGCAAUGCGUCCCAUUAGGCUAGUUGGUGUGGUAGCGGAUACCAAGGCAACGAUGGGUAGGGGUCCUGAGAGGGAGAUCCCCCACAGUGGUUACUGAGACACGGACCAGACUCCUACGGGAGGCAGCAGUGAGGAAUAUCGGUCAAUGGGCGCAAGUCCUGAAACCAGCCAUGCCGUGUGCAGGAUGACGGUCCUAUGGGAUUGUAACCCUGCUUUUGUCAGGAAGAAACAGUCCCUCGUGAGGGAGCUUGAGGGUACUGUAGAGAAUAAGGAUCGGGUAACUCCGUGCCAGCCGCCGCGG
rnacentral:rRNA from 1 species